UACGGGGGGGGCAAGCGUUGUUCGGAAUUAUUGGGCGUAAAGGGCGCGUAGGCGGUUGGUUAAGUCAGCUGUGAAAGCCCGGGGCUCAACCCCGGAGGGUCGGCUGAUACUGAUUGACUAGAGUACGGAAGAGGUAGCUGGAAUUCCCGGUGUAGUGGUGAAAUGCGUAGAUAUCGGGAGGAACACCUGAGGCGAAGGCGGGCUACUGGGCCGAUACUGACGCUGAUGCGCGAAAGCCAGGGGAGCGAACGGG
rnacentral:rRNA from 1 species